CAUAUAUUUAAUCCUCACAGUGCCCCUGUGAAAUAUAAGUACAGUGAUCUCUGUUUUACAGAUGAGAAAAUCUGAAGAUCAAGGAGGGUGAGUGAUUUACCAAGGUCAGGUGACUGGUGUUAAUUCCAAGGUAAUAUUGAUUAAAUGGUGAUCAAAUGAAGAGGCAAGUCACAUAGCAAGUGUACAUGGAAUGAAGAGAGUUUUCUGGGAAGGAAUGGGGUUAAAUUUGAAAGAUGAAGACACUGGCCCAAAGAAGUGAAGAGACUCCCCCAAAUCAGAAGCUAAUGAACAUUAAAAUUGUGUCUGAACCCCGAAGCCACUACAAGACAUAUGCCAAAACCUGGAAACGAAUUGGGUGAUGUAUUUCUAAGAAAAUGUAAACCUAUACAUUGCUCAUGGUUUCAGAGGACAUGUAACCCACCCACCUAGCAUCUAAGGCUGAGGAAUCUUUGGUAGGAUUUCAUGAAAGGGAUGGACCCAGUGUCCAGUCCUUUAUUUCUUUAUUUGUGUGUGUGUGUGUGUGUGUGUGUGUUAAAGGACUGAAUCCUAGGUCUUCACACUGAGACACAUCCCCAGCCCUCUAGCCCUCCACCUUUUUAUUUUGAGACAGAAUCUUCCUGAGUCAUGUGCCAUCAUUCCCAGUUGGUUUCCAGUUGAGAAGACAGGGCCCUACUUUUCUUUUUAACUGAUGGUUUAUAACUGUGUAAAUUUACAAGGUACAAAGUGAUGUAAUUUAUGAAUACAAUGUGGAAUAAGUAAAUCAAGCUAGUCUAUCCAUCACCUCAAAUACGUAACAUUUUUUCAGUGAGACUGGGCUUUAUUCUUUGUUAUUUUGAAGUGUACAAUGUUGUUAUUAACUAUAUGCUAUACAAUAAAUUUUUUGAAAAAUCCCUGCAGUUAUUGUGCUUAUCCCAGUUGCUCCUGCUGCUGCCCAAGUAAUCUGUGCGUUCCUGUGAGGGGGAGGCAGUGGCCACGUGUUGCUGCUCCGUAGGCACGUUCCCCUUUGAAAAGGAAUAAACCAGCAUUGUGUUUGUGCCACUCCCUGGGUAUUCCUACUGCGUUUUUCCUGAACUUGGUUAGCUCUGGGGCAGAGGAUCUGAAGAACUGAAAAGUGGAUUCUGGGUGAAUUUGACAGGAGUCGAACCUAAGGAGUUGUCUGUUCAUGUUUAAACCUAAAAGGAAGCAGAAACUAACGGCCACACAACAAAAGCUGCAGCACACAAUAAAUAUGAGUUAGUAAGAAACCAGAAAGAGAUGGGGGAAAGUCAAUUAUUUAAAUGAAACUAGACGGGAAGAAAAGCAGCAAGAUAAAUCACGUACAGGUACAAAUUCCCUACGAUGAAUGUUAUCAUUAUGUAGAUCUAAAAUGUACCAAUAAAUGUUUUGCUUAAAAAAAAAAAAACUUAAACACAAAAGGGCUAGAAUUUGAACCAAGGCUGCUUUUCCAGUAGUUUGUCCCCCUAAGAAGCACUGGUAACCAGAGAAAGCAGAGAAGGGCCUUGCUUGAAGAUGGAAAAAUCAGGCGUGAUUUGGAUAAAGUGAACUCUGACAUCUUUUCCAAUUCUGCUAUACCAGGACAAAGGCCCUGAGUUUCGAGCAAAGAGGCAGGAUGCACAAAGUGUGGGGUGAUAGGGCUACAAUCCCUGUGGCCUCAGCCGGAAUGUUCACAGACCCAGAUCCACAUCCACUCAGGCUGCC
rnacentral:lncRNA from 1 species